UACAGAGGGGGCAAGCGUUAUUCGGAAUUAUUGGGCGUAAAGGGCGCGUAGGCGGCCUGGUCAGUCGAAGGUGAAAUCCCCGAGCUCAACUUGGGAACUGCCUUCGAUACUGCCGGGCUUGAGUCCGGGAGGGGAGAGUGGAAUUCCCAGUGUAGCGGUGAAAUGCGUAGAUAUUGGGAGGAACACCGGUGGCGAAGGCGGCUCUCUGGGACGUUACUGACGCUGAGACGCGAAAGCGUGGGGAGCAAACAGG
rnacentral:rRNA from 1 species